GACUCUUUAGCUUGACCUCUUUCUAAAAGCUGUACUUUUGCACUCCCCUCCUCCCACAUUAUAUGUUUUUCACAUCGUAUACAGUCUUUUGUUUAGUGUGUGUCUAUCCGUUACCCUGUUAUCAUUGAAAUAGGUGAUUUUAGUACAUUUGUCUUUUAACCUUCAUAUUACCUUCACAGGUAGUUGAUCUGCUGCCUUUACUAUACUCUUACCUUACAAGUGAUUUUAUUGCCUGUUUUUUGUUGUUGUUGUUUUGGGGUUUUUUUUGAUAAUUUUUUUUUUUACCUCUAUUUGUGGUCAUUGCUUUCCCACUUAAAUAAGUCCCUUCAGCAUUUGUUGCAGAACUGGUUUCUUGGUGAUAAACUCCUUUAAUUUUUGCUUGUCUGGGAAGCUCUUUAUCUCUCCUUCCAUUCUGAAUGACAACCUUGAUGGAUAGAGUAUUCUUGGUUGUAGGUUUUUUCCUUUUAGCACUUUAAAUAUGUCAUGCCAUUCUCUUCUCACCUGUAGGGUCUCAGUCUCCGGAGAGGUCCCUCCUCUCACCAAGAUACCCCCAGAACCCACCAGGUGAGUCUCGUUUCACCAAAGGACAGUCAGCCUUCUCUCUGGUGAUUGUAGGCUGCUGCAAUGAGAUCGUUUGUGUGUGGGCCCUUUAAUACCCGGGUCUUUUCUGCUUUCGGCUGUUAGCUUUUCUGGGGGUGUCCUCACUGCAGUUAAGAGCCAUCAAAGCCAGACAGUAAGACCCCCGUCUCAGUUGGGCUGAGUCUGAAGGAUGCUUAUAGCAGUAUUGCCCCCGCUCCGGACCUCACUCCUCCAGGGAGGGCUGCGUACCUUAGGGUGGCUCCCGCCUGGCCAGCUGAGAAGCUCCGCUGCCCCCAAAGGUGGCUUUUUUCCUCUCCGGUCGGAGUUACUGCCUCUUCUGCCUUCCUCAGGACUGUCUCUUGUCGUGGGGGUUCUUUUUAUCCAGUUUUCAGUUUUCAAUCCAGGGUGAUUCUUCCCAAAAUUAUUGUAACCUGGUUGUGUUCGUGGGAGGAGGCAAGUUCAGCGUUUGCUCACAGCGCCAUCUUGACCGAACAGAAUUCAGAGACAAAUAUUCUAAAACGAGAAUGCAUACAUCUUCUUCUGAAGCAUAACUCUGAAUUUCAAAUUCCUGUUAAAACACUGUCUUCAGCAGACCACUGGGUAAUUUUAAAACUUCUUAUCUUUAAUUUUCAGUUCACUAUCUGCCAGCUUUACUCUUUCUGAACUCAUAAUUUUUAUGAAUGCUGAAAACUUUA
rnacentral:lncRNA from 1 species